GACAGAGGUGCCAAGCGUUAGGCGGAAUCACUGGGCUUAAAGCGUGUGUAGGCGGAUCGUUAAGUACCUUGUGAAAUCCCACGGCUCAACAGUGGAACUGCUGGGUAUACUGGCGAUCUUGAGCCACCUAGGGGCGAGCGGAACAAGCGGUGGAGCGGUGAAAUGCGUAGAUAUCGCUUGGAACGCCAAUGGUGAAAACAGCUCGCUGGGGGUGUGCUGACGCUGAGACACGAAAGCCAGGGGAGCGAACGGG
rnacentral:rRNA from 1 species